AGUGGACCGUGAUGAUGACGAAGCCCUGGACCGAGUUGAAGACUGCAAAGAGGACCUGGAAGAGGAUGGAGCGCCGGUCGGUCAUGGCGAGCACAGCCGACAUCCAGGCUCAUUAUAGGAAAUGCAAGAAAACAGGGAGAAUGUUCCUGGCAAUAUAAUCGGGAGAAGACACUGUGAAGGGGAAGCGGAUGGAACCAAGUGGCGCCUAUUGCCAGUUUGCCAAACAUCACCUGAAGGUUUGUUUCCACCAGUGCAUUUUGUCUUUUGCAUAGUCCCUCACUCCCCAAAUUGUUGAGGGUCCUGAUUUUGAUCUUGCAAGAAAGCGCAGCCCACCAGGCAAGGCUCCUGCACAAGGCUUGUCAAGGGCAGGACAGACAGAACUAUAAGUAAGGAUGCCAGAGAAUCCAGUCGUAAAUGGAAAUGGGGACAGAAACUUCUGUAAUUCACAUGUUUUGUGCAAGGUCUGAAACAGAAACCAUGCAAGCAAAUACAAGCGGAAGUGGCUAUUGUUCUUUCUUUAGCCCGCAAAUGUUACAUAAAAAGUUACAUUCUUUUCUGCACUGUUUGUGACAUGACAUUUCCCUUCCGUUGAAAUGCAUCAGAAUUAAUUAUGUCAGUUUUGGCUAAUGCUGAUAGUGAGAAACAUAAUGUAGGUUUUAGUGGAAGCCAAACUGUAGAGGAACGGAAAUGGAGCUGAUUGCAAUGGACAGAGUCAGUCACUGACAUUGGCUGUGACUUUAAGAACUUCUGCUUGGGAUAUUUCCUCCUCCCUCCCCGUUCCCCCUUUUUCAUGUGACAUGAUGUCUUUUCAGUCUGCGAGCUGAAGGGCUGGAACCCCCU